rnacentral:rRNA from 1 species
UGGGGAAUAUUGGACAAUGGGCGAAAGCCUGAUCCAGCAAUACCGCGUGUGUGAAGAAGGCCUGAGGGUUGUAAAGCACUUUCAAUAGGAAGGAAUACCUACGGGUUAAUACCUCGUAGACUGACAUUACCUAUACAAGAAGCACCGGCUAACUCCGUGCCAGCAGCCGCGGUAAUACGGAGGGUGCAAGCGUUAAUCGGAAUUACUGGGCGUAAAGCGUGCGUAGGCGGUUUUUUAAGUCAGAUGUGAAAGCCCCGGGCUUAACCUGGGAAUGGCAUUUGAUACUGGAAGACUUGAGUUUAAGAGAGGGGAGUGGAAUUUCAGGUGUAGCGGUGAAAUGCGUAGAGAUCUGAAGGAACACCAGUGGCGAAGGCGGCUCCCUGGCUUAAAACUGACGCUG